rnacentral:rRNA from 1 species
GGUUAAGCGAAUAAGCGUACACGGUGGAUGCCUAGGCAAUCAGAGGCGAUGAAGGACGUGCUAAUCUGCGAAAAGCGUCGGUAAGGUGAUAUGAACCGUUAUACCCGACGAUAUCCGAAUGGGGAAACCCAGUAUCCAAUGGAUACUAUCAUUAACUGAAUCCAUAGGUUAAUGAGGCGAACCGGGAGAACUGAAACAUCUCAGUACCCCGAGGAAAAGAAAUCAACCGAGAUUCCCCUAGUAGCGGCGAGCGAACGGGGAGCAGCCCAGAGUCUUAAUCAAUAGCAGUGUCAGGAGAACGGUCUGGAAAGUCCGGCAGUAAAGGGUGAUAGCCCCGUAUCUGAAGAUGCUGUUAUUGUGAACUCGACGAGUAGGGCGGGACACGUGUUAUCCUGUCUGAAUAUGGGGGGACCAUCCUCCAAGGCUAAAUACUCCUGAUUGACCGAUAGUGAACCAGUACCGUGAGGGAAAGGCGAAAAGAACCCCGGCGAGGGGAGUGAAAAAGAACCUGAAACCGUGUACGUACAAGCAGUAGGAGCCUCUUUAUGGGGUGACUGCGUACCUUUUGUAUAAUGGGUCAGCGACUUAUAUUCUGUAGCAAGGUUAACCGUAUAGGGGAGCCGUAGGGAAACCGAGUCUUAACUGGGCGAAUGAGUUGCAGGGUAUAGACCCGAAACCCGGUGAUCUAUCCAUGGGCAGGUUGAAGGUUGGGUAACACUAACUGGAGGACCGAACCGACUAAUGUUGAAAAAUUAGCGGAUGACUUGUGGAUGGGGGUGAAAGGCCAAUCAAACCGGGAGAUAGCUGGUUCUCCCCGAAAGCUAUUUAGGUAGCGCCUCGUGAACUCAUCUUCGGGGGUAGAGCACUGUUUCGACUAGGGGGUCAUCCCGACUUACCAACUCGAUGCAAACUGCGAAUACCGAAGAAUGUUAUCACGGGAGACACACGGCGGGUGCUAACGUCCGUCGUGAAGAGGGAAACAACCCAGACCGCCAGCUAAGGUCCCAAAGUCAUGGUUAAGUGGGAAACGAAGUGGGAAGGCUCAGACAGCCAGGAUGUUGGCUUAGAAGCAGCCAUCAUUUAAAGAAAGCGUAAUAGCUCACUGGUCGAGUCGGCCCGCGCGGAAGAUGUAACGGGGCUAAACCAUGCACCGAAGCUGCGGCAGCGACACAUAGUGUUGUUGGGUAGGGGAGCGUUCUGUAAGCCUGCGAAGGUGUACUGUGAGGUAUGCUGGAGGUAUCAGAAGUGCGAAUGCUGACAUAAGUAACGAUAAUGCGGGUGAAAAACCCGCACGCCGGAAGACCAAGGGUUCCUGUCCAACGUUAAUCGGGGCAGGGUGAGUCGACCCCUAAGGCGAGGCUGAAAAGCGUAGUCGAUGGGAAACGGGUUAAUAUUCCCGUACUGGUGGUAACUGCGAUGGGGGAACGGAGAAGGCUAGGUUGUCCGGGCGACGGUCGUCCCGGUUCAAGCAGGUAGGCAGAGUGAUUAGGCAAAUCCGGUCACUUAAUGCUGAGAUGUGAUGACGAACCACUAAGGUGGUGAAGCAAUUGAUGCCCCGCUUCCAGGAAAAGCCUCUAAGCUUCAGGUUACCAACAAUCGUACCCCAAACCGACACAGGUGGUCAGGUAGAGAAUACUCAGGCGCUUGAGAGAACUCGGGUGAAGGAACUAGGCAAAAUGGUGCCGUAACUUCGGGAGAAGGCACGCUGGCGGUAGGUAAAGUCCCUCGCGGACGGAGCUGAAGCCAGUCGAAGAUACCAGCUGGCUGCAACUGUUUAUUAAAAACACAGCACUGUGCAAACACGAAAGUGGACGUAUACGGUGUGACGCCUGCCCGGUGCUGGAAGGUUAAUUGAUGGGGUCAGCCGCAAGGCGAAGCUCCUGAUCGAAGCCCCAGUAAACGGCGGCCGUAACUAUAACGGUCCUAAGGUAGCGAAAUUCCUUGUCGGGUAAGUUCCGACCUGCACGAAUGGCGUAAUGAUGGCCAGGCUGUCUCCACCCGAGACUCAGUGAAAUUGAACUCGCUGUGAAGAUGCAGUGUACCCGCGGCAAGACGGAAAGACCCCGUGAACCUUUACUAUAGCUUGACACUGAACAUUGAGCCUUGAUGUGUAGGAUAGGUGGGAGGCUUUGAAGUGUGGACGCCAGUCUGCAUGGAGCCAACCUUGAAAUACCACCCUUUAACGUUUGAUGUUCUAACCUAGGCCCAUAAACUGGGUCGGGGACCGUGUCUGGUGGGUAGUUUGACUGGGGCGGUCUCCUCCUAAAGAGUAACGGAGGAGCACGAAGGUUGGCUAAGCAUGGUCGGACAUCAUGCGGUUAGUGCAAAGGCAUAAGCCAGCUUGACUGCGAGAGUGACGGCUCGAGCAGGUACGAAAGUAGGUCUUAGUGAUCCGGUGGUUCUGAAUGGAAGGGCCAUCGCUCAACGGAUAAAAGGUACUCCGGGGAUAACAGGCUGAUACCGCCCAAGAGUUCAUAUCGACGGCGGUGUUUGGCACCUCGAUGUCGGCUCAUCACAUCCUGGGGCUGAAGUAGGUCCCAAGGGUAUGGCUGUUCGCCAUUUAAAGUGGUACGCGAGCUGGGUUUAGAACGUCGUGAGACAGUUCGGUCCCUAUCUGCCGUGGGCGUUGGAAGAUUGAGAGGGGUUGCUCCUAGUACGAGAGGACCGGAGUGAACGCACCACUGGUGUUCGGGUUGUCAUGCCAAUGGCAUUGCCCGGUAGCUAAGUGCGGAAGAGAUAACCGCUGAAAGCAUCUAAGCGGGAAACUUGCCUCGAGAUGAGUCUUCCCUGUCGCUUUAAGCGACCUAAAGGAACGUUUAAGACUAAGACGUUGAUAGGCUGGGUGUGUAAGCGUAGCGAUACGUUGAGCUAACCAGUACUAAUGAACCGUGAGGCUUAACCUG